GAGUUACUAGAGGUUAGUCAGUGUAUUUAUUAUAAACAGUGUGAGGGCAGACUAAGAGUUACUAGAGGUUAGUCAGUGUAUUUAUUAUAGACAGUGUGAGGGCAGACUAAGAGUUACUAGAGGUUAGUCAGUGUAUUUAUUAUAGACAGACUAAGAGUUACUAGAGGUUAGUCAGUGUAUUUAUUAUAGACAGUGUGAGGGCAGACUAAGAGUUACUAGAGGUUAGUCAGUGUAUUUAUUAUAGACAGACUAAGAGUUACUAGAGGUUAGUCAGUGUAUUUAUUAUAGACAGUGUGAGGGCAGACUAAGAGUUACUAGAGGUUAGUCAGUGUAUUUAUCAUAGACAGACUAAGAGUUACUAGAGGUUAGUCAGUGUAUUUAUUAUAGACAGUGUGAGGGCAGACUAAGAGUUACUAGAGGUUAGUCAGUGUAUUUAUUAUAGACAGUGUGAGGGCAGACUAAGAGUUACUAGAGGUUAGUCAGUGUAUUUAUUAUAGACAGACUAAGAGUUACUAGAGGUUAGUCAGUGUAUUUAUUAUAGACAGACUAAGAGUUACUAGAGGUUAGUCAGUGUAUUUAUUAUAGACAGUGUGAGGGCAGACUAAGAGUUACUAGAGGUUAGUCAGUGUAUUUAUUAUAGACAGUGUGAGGGCAGACUAAGAGUUACUAGAGGUUAGUCAGUGUAUUUAUUAUAGACAGACUAAGAGUUACUAGAGGUUAGUCAGUGUAUUUAUUAUAGACAGACUAAGAGUUACUAGAGGUUAGUCAGUGUAUUUAUUAUAGACAGUGUGAGGGCAGACUAAGAGUUACUAGAGGUUAGUCAGUGUAUUUAUUAUAGACAGUGUGAGGGCAGACUAAGAGUUACUAGAGGUUAGUCAGUGUAUUUAUUAUAGACAGACUAAGAGUUACUAGAGGUUAGUCAGUGUAUUUAUU